rnacentral:rRNA from 1 species
CUGGUUGAUCCUGCCAGUAGUCAUAUGCUUGUCUCAAAGAUUAAGCCAUGCAAGUCUAAGUAUAAGUUUAAAUACAACGAAACUGCGAAUGGCUCAUUACAACAGUAAUAGUUUGUGUGAAAAUAGUUACUACACGGAUAUCUGUGGUAAUUCUGGAGCUAAUACGUGCACCAACACCUCUCCUUCGGGCUGAGGUGGCACAUAUUAGAUAAAGAACCAACCUAUGCUUGCAUAGAUUUUUGGUGAUCCAUAAUAAAUUUGUGAAUCGUAUGGCUUCGGCUAGCGAUAAUUCACUUAAGUUUCUGACCUAUCAGCUGUCGACGGUAGGGUAUUGGCCUACCGUGGCUAUGACGGGUAACGGGGAAUUAGGGUUUGAUUCCGGAGAGGGAGCCUGAGAAAUGGCUACCACAUCUAAGGAAGGCAGCAGGCGCGCAAAUUGCCCAAUACGGACACAUUCGUGAGGCAGUGACAAGAAAUAUCAAUGCAGGACUUAUAGUUUUGCAAUUGGAAUGAGUCAAACCUAAAUCCCUUGACAAGUAUCAAUUGGAGGGCAAGUCUGGUA